UACGUAGGUGGCAAGCGUUGUCCGGAUUUACUGGGUGUAAAGGGCGUGUAGGCGGGAAAAUAAGUCAGAUGUGAAAUUUCAUGGCUCAACUGUGGCGCUGCAUCUGAAACUAUUUUUCUUGAGUGAUGGAGAGGAAAGCGGAAUUCCUAGUGUAGCGGUGAAAUGCGUAGAUAUCUGGAGGAACACCGGUGGCGAAGGCGGCAUCCUGGACCGGCAUUGACGCUGAGACGCGAAAGCUAGGGGAGCAAACGGG
rnacentral:rRNA from 1 species